GCUGGGUGCAGUGAUGUAUGCCUGUAAUCCCAGUGACUCAGGAGGCUGAGGCAGGAGGAUCAUGAGCUCAAAACCCAGCCUCAGCAAUUUAGCAAGGCCCUAAGCAACUCAGUGAGACCCUGUCUCUA
rnacentral:sRNA from 1 species